rnacentral:rRNA from 1 species
GACGAACGCUGGCGGCGUGCUUAACACAUGCAAGUCGAACGGAAAGGCCCUGCUUUUGUGGGGUGCUCGAGUGGCGAACGGGUGAGUAACACGCGAGUAAACUGCCCUUGACUUUGGGAUAACUUCAGGAAACUGGGGCUAAUACCGGAUAGGAGCUCCUGCUGCAUGGUGGGGGUUGGAAAGUUUCGGCGGUUGGGGAUGGACUCGCGGCUUAUCAGCUUGUUGGUGGGGUAGUGGCUUACCAAGGCUUUGACGGGUAGCCGGCCUGAGAGGGUGACCGGCCACAUUGGGACUGAGAUACGGCCCAGACGCCUACGGGAGGCAGCAGUGGGGAAUAUUGCACAAUGGGCGGAAGCCUGAUGCAGCAACGCCGCGUGCGGGAUGACCGCCUUCGGGUGGUAAACCGCUUUCGCCGGUGACGAAGCGUGAGUGACGGUAAUGGGUAAAGAAGCACCGGCUAACUACGUG